rnacentral:rRNA from 1 species
CAUUAACGAAAGCUCGAGCGAGGUUGUAGCUGGCUCACCCUCUCCGGGGGAGCAACGUGCACGCUUCGUCUUCGUCUUCUUCAUCUCUCACCCCUGUGCACCUCCGCGUGGGUCCCGUUAGUUCGGGCCCACGUCCUUUUUCCAUGAAAAACACGCAUGUCAUAAGAACGUCUUACUUCGCCUUUAGAAGCGAAACCAGUACAACUUUCAACAACGGAUCUCUUGGCUCUCGCAUCGAUGAAGAACGCAGCGAAAUGCGAUAAGUAAUGUGAAUUGCAGAAUUCAGUGAAUCAUCGAAUCUUUGAACGCACCUUGCGCCCCUUGGUAUUCCGAGGGGCACGCCUGUUUGAGUAUCGUGAAAUUCUCAACCCUCACCCCCUUUUCGGAGUCGGUGAAGGGCUUGGACUUUGGAGGUCUUGCCGGGGUCCCUUGGUGGAAUCGGCUCCUCUCGAAUGCAUUAGUGGAGCUCGCUCGUCCUCUAUCGGACUGCCCUUUGGUGUGAUAAUUCAUCAGCACCGAUCGGGCGUUCGUGACUUUAGAAGGAUGGCCUCUGCUUCCAACCGUCUCGUUUCAGAGACCAGCGUCGUUUCGACGACGAAACCUUUUUGAUCUCAAAUCAGGCGGGACUACCCGCUGAACUUAAGCAUAUCAAUAAGCGGAGGAAAAGAAACUAACAAGGAUUCCCCUAGUAACUGCGAGUGAAGCGGGAAAAGCUCAAAUUUGAAAUCUGGCGGUCUUUGGCCGUCCGAGUUGUAGUCUGGAGAAGCGCUUUCCGCGCCGGACCGUGUACAAGUCCUCUGGAACGGGGCGUCGUAGAGGGUGAGAAUCCCGUCUUUGACACGGACAGCCGGUGCUAUGCGAUGCGCUCUCGAAGAGUCGAGUUGUUUGGGAAUGCAGCUCAAAACGGGUGGUGAAUUCCAUCUAAAGCUAAAUAUUGGCGAGAGACCGAUAGCGAACAAGUACCGUGAGGGAAAGAUGAAAAGCACUUUGGAAAGAGAGUUAAACAGUACGUGAAAUUGUUGAAAGGGAAACGCUUGAAGUCAGUCGCGUCGUCCGGGAUUCAGCCUUGCGAUUCGUCGCUCGGUGUACUUUUCCGGUUCGACGGGCCAGCAUCGAUUUCGAUCGUCGGACAAAGGCGGGGGAAACGUGGCACCCUUCGGGGUGUGUUAUAGUCCCUCGUCGGUAUACGGUGGUCGGGAUCGAGGAACUCGGCACGCCCUUCGGGGUCGGGGCUUCGGCCCACGUCUCGUGCUUAGGAUGCUGGCGUAAUGGCUUUAAACGACCCGUCUUGAAACACGGACCAAGGAGUCUAACAUGCCCGCGAGUGUUCGGGUGCAAAACCCGUGCGCGUAAUGAAAGUGAAUGUUGGGACCUUCGAGAGGAGGGCACCGACGCCCGGACCAGACCUUCUGCGACGGAUCCGCGGUCGAGCGUGUAUGUUGGGACCCGAAAGAUGGUGAACUAUGCCUGAAUAGGGUGAAGCCAGAGGAAACUCUGGUGGAGGCUCGUAGCGAUUCUGACGUGCAAAUCCGAUCGAGA